rnacentral:rRNA from 1 species
AAUAAGCUAAAUAAGAGCGUAUGGGGAAUGCCUAGGCUCUCAGAGGCGAUGAAGGACGUGAUAAGCUGCGAAAAGUUGCGGGGAUUGGCACAUACAAAUUGAUCCGCAAAUAUCCGAAUGGGGCAACCCACUAUAUUGAAGAUAUAGUAUUCUGAACUUGUUUCAGGAGGCGAACCC